GAGUUUGAUCCUGGCUCAGAACGAACGCUGGCGGCGUGCUUAACACAUGCAAGUCGAACGUGAUCCGGAGCUUGCUCCGGUGAAAGUGGCGCACGGGUGAGUAACGCGUGGAUAACCUGCCCUGGUAUCUGGGAUAACAUCUCGAAAGGGGUGCUAAUACCGGAUAAGCUCACGACCUCUUCGGAGGACGCGAGAAAAGGUGGCCUCUAUUUAUAAGCUACCGUAUCAUGAUGGGUCCGCGUACCAUUAGCUAGUUGGUGGGGUAAUGGCCUACCAAGGCGACGAUGGUUAGCUGGUCUGAGAGGAUGAUCAGCCACACUGGAACUGAGACACGGUCCAGACUCCUACGGGAGGCAGCAGUGGGGAAUUUUGCGCAAUGGGGGAAACCCUGACGCAGCAACGCCGCGUGAGUGAUGAAGGCUUUCGGGUCGUAAAGCUCUGUCAGAGGGGAAGAAAUGAGUCUGGCUAAUAUCCAGGUUUCUUGACGGUACCCUCAAAGGAAGCACCGGCUAACUCCGUGCCAGCAGCCGCGGUAAUAC
rnacentral:rRNA from 1 species